AAUUGAUGAAAAAGUGACUUUUAAGCCUCCGGAGCUAAAGGCCGCAAGUUCGAUUCUUGCAUUGCGCACCA
rnacentral:tRNA from 2 species